CACGUGAUAACGGGCGUGUCUUUUACCUUUUGUUAUGUAUAUCAUGAUUGGUACAUUUUAUUAAGUCAUGUCUGCUCAGGUGUGCAAUUAGGCCCAUCCAUCCGUGAAAAGCCAUUGAUCCAUUUGUAGGGUGCGUACUAGAAUUAACCGAUAUAUUUCUGGUUAAGUUUUUGCAAAACGUUAGUAUUACGUAUAAAUGAGAAGCAUUUUAUCAUUGUUAUAAACUGAGACACACCCUCCCAGGUAUUAGUUUACACCCUCCCAGGUAUUAGUUUACACCCUCCCAGGUAUAAGUUUACACCCUCCCAGGUAUUAGUUUACACCCUCCCAGGUAUUAGUUUACACCCUCCCAGGUAUUAGUUUACACCCUCCCAGGUAUAAGUUUACACCCUCCCAGGUAUUAGUUUACACCCUCCCAGGUAUUAGUUUACACCCUCCCAGGUAUUAGUUUACACCCUCCCAGGUAUUAGUUUACACCCUCCCAGGUAUAAGUUUACACCCUCCCAGGUAUUAGUUUACACCCUCCCAGGUAUUAGUUUACACCCUCCCAGGUAUUAGUUUACACCCUCCCAGGUAUAAGUUUACACCCUCCCAGGUAUAAGUUUACACCCUCCCAGGUAUUAGUUUACACCCUCCCAGGUAUAAGUUUACACCCUCCCAGGUAUUAGUUUACACCCUCCCAGGUAUAAGUUUACACCCUCCCAGGUAUUAGUUUACACCCUCCCAAGUAUUAACUAAGACACACCCUCCCAGGUAUUAGUUUACACCCUCCCAGGUAUAAGUUUACACCCUCCCAGGUAUUAGUUUACACCCUCCCAGGUAUUAGUUUACACCCUCCCAGGUAUAAGUUUACACCCUCCCAGGUAUUAGUUUACACCCUCCCAGGUAUUAGUUUACACCCUCCCAGGUAUAAGUUUACACCCUCCCAGGUAUUAGUUUACACCCUCCCAGGUAUUAGUUUACACCCUCCCAGGUAUUAACUAAGACACACCCUCCCAGGUAUUAGUUUACACCCUCCCAAGUAUUAACUAAGACACACCCUCCCAGGUAUUAGUUUACACCCUCCCAAGUAUUAACUAAGACACACCCUCCCAGGUAUAAGUUUACACCCUCCCAAGUAUUAACUAAGACACACCCUCCCAGGUAUUAGUUUACACCCUCCCAGGUAUUAACUAAG